GUGGGUAUAGCUCAGUGGUGGAGCGCACGAGGUUCUGGGUUCAAUCCCUGGUACCUCCU
rnacentral:tRNA from 1 species